AGGUUGCAUUUACAACAAGAAUUUAUCAUCCAAAUAUUAACAGUAAUGGCAGCAUUUGUCUUGAUAUUCUAAGAUCACAGUGGUCUCCUGCUUUAACUAUUUCUAAAGUUCUUUUAUCCAUUUGUUCACUGCUAUGUGAUCCAAACCCAGAUGACCCCCUAGUGCCAGAGAUUGCACGGAUCUAUAAAACAGACAGAGACAAGUACAAUAGGUUAGCAAGAGAGUGGACAGAGAAAUACGCUAUGUUGUAGGGUACAACAGAAUAUCUCGGGAAUGGACUCAGAAGUAUGCCAUGUGAUGCUACCUUAAAGUCAGAAUAACCUGCAUUAUAGCUGGAAUAAACUUUAAAUUACUGUUCCUUUUUUGAUUUUCUUAUCCGGCUGCUCCCCUAUCAGACCUCAUCUUUUUUAAUUUUAUUUUUUGUUUCCCUCCCUCCAUUCAUUCACAUGCUCAUCUGAGAAGACCUAAGUUCUUCCAGCUUUGGACAAUAACUGCUUUUAGAAACUGUAAAGUAGUUACAAGAGAACAGUUGCCCAAGAUUCAGAAAUUUUUUUAAAACUGGAGCAUGUGUAUUAUGUGGCCAAUGUCUUCACUCUAACUUGGUUAUGAGACUAAACCAAUCCUCACUGCUCUAACAUGCUGAAGAAGCCAUCUGAGGGGGAGGGGGAUGGAUGCUGAGCUGUCACAUCAAAGGAAACAGCAUUAUUCCAGCAGCAUCCAUUCUUGUCUAAACCUUCCACUGUUAGAGAUUUGAGGUUACAUGAUAUACUUUAUGCUCAUAACUGAUGUGGCUGGAGAAUUGGUAUUGAAUUAUAGCAUCAGCAGAACAGAAAAUGUGAUGUAUUUUAUGCAUGUCAAUAAAGGAAUGACCUGUUCUUGUUCUACAG
rnacentral:lncRNA from 1 species